AGAACCCUGCCCGGCUUCCGUGGGAAUCUGCAUUUCCAGUGCAUUGACGUUGACUCCUUUCCCCCUCUGCCUUCUCUGACCCUUCCUUGAUCUUUCUUUCAGGGUCUCAAAAGUGAUGCCAGGAUGCAGGUGUCCCCAGCGCCAGAAGAGAGAUGCCCACCCAGGAGCCCUGCGCGUCUGCUGAGACGAGGGUGAGGCACACGCAGCCCGAGACCGGCCACGGGGUCCGCCACCUUCCGAAAGAAACACGGGAGCGCCUCAGCUGAAAACAGCUCAUCUUCGCUUUGGGGAAGAGCCCAGACCCAUCAGCUACUCGAUACCAUUUUUCCUUGAGACCAUCUGUGGGUUAUUGGGGCAGAGGCCAAGCCCAAGAAGGUGCUGUUUCGAGACUGGAGGCUCGCGCGAAGGGACACAGGCACAGGAGGACUCAGCGAUGCUUCUGGACGCCGCCGCCACCACCGGCCGAUGAGCGGACACUGAGGGGGCUCAGCCUCUCCCCUGGGCAGGCAGAGCCCAACGGGCCGACGCGCUGAAAGGAAGCCCAGGGCCCGACCGGGAAGAAAGAACAAGAUUUCAUGGUCUUCCCAGACGGACGUUGCAGGCCACGGGACCAUGGAGACCCAGGAAAAGAGACCGUGGACCAGAUGUAUCCUCUUUUCCUCCGUCGUAAAAUGUAUACACUGGCGCCUUUCACUGGCCCGUGAUGCUUGGGAAGCUAUUAACUCACACCUGUGAGAUGCUUGGAGUGGCGUCAGGGCAGCGGUGACAUCGAGUCAUGAAUGCUGACAAUUACACAUUUUCAACAACGGGGACUGAUUUGAAGCAUCUCUCAGGUGCUGGAAAACACAACAGGCUGGAGGUUUGUUGCAGUCACUAGGCGAUAAAGUCUGUUUAUAGGGAGAACAAAGCGUCAGUUAACGUUGAGAGUAUCUUUGCAGGACGUACCUCCUCUAGGCUUUGGGUCCUUUAGAAUUGCCUCAGAACUCAUGAUUUACUUAAAGCUAAAAUGCCAGGGAUUGGAUACAGCAGCAUUUGAUGAAUACAUAGACUAGAGUGAAUGAGUUGAGAAGCAAAGCAUUGACUUAAUACCAUCUCAUAAACACACUUGAUGAAGACACAUUGGAAACCUGUCUUAUGAAGACCAUACCUGUGUGACACUCAACUACCUGAUCUUUUUGAACGAGGACAAGGUGAUAAUUUUUAAAGCUAAAGGAUCCAAGGUGGACUUCUUCUUCUUCUUCUUCUUCUUUUUCCUUAAAGUAAAGCUGAUCCAAGGUGGACUUCUUGAUCUCUGGGUGCUGGGUCCCGAGGUCUCAGGGGCGUGUGUGGUUGGCAGGGCUUGCUCAGAGCCACUGCAUUAACAUGCAGCGCCUUCCGGGGGCACUGGCUCUAUGUAAG